GCUGAGUUUUCUGCUGAGAGUGUGUGUGGGAGGGUGUGGGGGGCCUGGCUAGGGUCCUAGGGGACACGGAGGCCACGCCCCAGCUCCUACUGCCUGCAUUGGAGAACACCCGGAAGUCCUGGUGGCUGGCCACCGUUCUGUGAUGAAAUGGAGUUGGAAGAAGGCUCAGCUUGCUGUUACAGCUGUUGCUUCAGAGAAAGGGUCCUUGCAAGUGUUUCAAAACUAACUCUUGGGAGUUGCUUCCAAUUGGCAGACUGGAGCAGCAGUUAAGCCUCAAGAAGAAGCGGUGAGAACAACUUUCCUAGAAGUCCACAUCCACUGGCAACCCGUGACUUAAGGAAAGGCCUGAGGCCCUCUUGGACUGCACCCGAGUCUGACCUUGGGCUGGCUCUCCUGCUGUUGCCCGCCACCUUGUGAGGAAACACGUCACUUCUAUCCCUAGGCACCCGUGCCUGACUUGUUUGACAUAGCCCAGGUAGUCUGUCAAGUCUAACCAUCCCGGAAGCCAUAGCGGAAUCUCCUCUUGGCAGAGCUACCAUAGUGUGGAACCUGCAAACCAAGCCAUUCCAUGGGACCACACUUGUGCUGACCUCUAGAGAGCCGUGUUCUGCCCAGCUCACUUAUGAGUCAACUGAGCAGCCAGCAUAGCACGAAGGCCUCCUGAGUUAGGGGCCUAUGUGGCCUCCAGGACUGGUGCAAGCUUCCCUACAACAGCAGACAGUCAAUGAUAGUCCUCUCUUGGCCCUUGGCGACUAUAGUCACAUGUGACUCCUCCUGCCAACAGGGCUCAAGAGUUGGUCAAAGGGGACAGCAGCAAAACUCUGGGGAACAGUCACCUCUAGCGAACCUAGUCUCACACCCAGGAGUGGGGUGCAGGCUCAUAGCGCCCUUCUGUUUUUGUCCGUGGAUUUGUUUGUUUGCUCCAACAGGGCUCAAGAGUUGGUCAAAGGGGACAGUAGCAAAACUCUGGGGAACAGUCACCUCUAGUGAACCUAGAAGCAUUUGGGAGGACAAAUGAGUUUAUCUCAGUUUCAGAAUCAAGGUACCAAGACACGAGCCGUCCCUCACCCUUGCCUGCCAAGGUCCUUGGGUGUGUGUGCCACAGCAAGUUCUUGCCAUGCAAGAAGCCACUCCCUCUGCACCAUCAGUCCCAGCUCUGGAAUGACAGGGGCAUGAGGGUUCUUGGGAACUCAAGAGCUACCAAAUCAGGAACCUAAAGGCAUCAUUUCAGCUGUGUUUCAAUCCAGCAAAUUCCCCUGCCAAUGCCAGGAGCCCAGACUGUCCCUGCUACUCUGCUACUUCCUAUUUGCAACCCCCCUGGUCUUCCUUGUGUGCCCUGGGGCAUCUCUAUAGCUCAGCAAGGCACAACCUCUACUGUCUCAGCAAACACCAAAUCUUCAGUAGGCCAGGGUCACUUUGCCUUGGCGGCCACACCCUCCUCCCAUCACCAUGGGGACAAGGGGGACAAGCACCCAUCUGAAAGGAGUCAUUAGCUCUGUGUGUAUCAUUCCUCCCAGCACUCAGUCCCUUCCAGAAGGUUCCACCCUCUCACUGCAGCAGCAAGACGCACCCCUGCCCCAAGCAAGGGUUUGUUCUGUCUUGUUGGCCCCGUCUGGUUUGGAUUCCUGAAUAAUGCAGUCUUUUAUUUUCAUUAAAAACUCCAAGACACCCACAUUUGAGCAGGAACUGGCUCUUAGCAGAGUGAGCCGUUAAGACAGAAGAGGCUGUGAGCCCCAGGGUGGCUCUGGGAGACAGCUGCGAGUUCAAGGGUCAGAAGCACGUCCAUCACUGCCAGACAGGUCCCACAAGCUUCUCAGGAAAGAGAAUGUUCAGAGGACACAAACAAGCAUGCUAAGGGUGCAGUUUAUCACAGGAAAAGGCCUGCAAGUGGACAUACAAGGAUGUAAGCCCAUAUGUGGACUCCCACGGCUGUACGGAGACACAGACACAGGCAUGGAUAUGCAUACAUUGGAUUGUAUGGACUCAAGAUGACUCAGCAGAGGUGGGAAGAGAUGCAUCACCCCCCGGGGCUCAAGAAGUUGUUCCUACAGAGCCUUCAAAACCACCAGGCAAAGUUCCAGGAGAAGUUGAGUGAGGCAGUGCCUUACAACUAAACUCAGAGCGGUGGGUGGGGGCCCGCGAGGGACCUAACCUCUCAGAGUUGAAAUUUAACGUUCACUUGCCCAAAACCGAUCUGAGAGUUCCCUGAUGACUGCAGACUCUAGAACCAUCCACACCUGUCCCAAACACAGCCUUCAAGAACCAAGAUUAUUUGGCUACUCUGGGCCCCACGAGGCUCUGCACAGCUGGAAUUCUGGUGAGAGUUGCGCAGAUCCGUGAGCAGCUGGGCUGCACUACUGACGCCUUCUCAGACGUCCUUGAUUGCUGUUGUUUAAUGUUUGCAUUGUUCAAUGGUUUCGAAAUACACUUUACACUUCUUUUGUUAACUUUAUCCCUUGAUAUUUUAUGAAUUUUUGAAGCUAUUAUAAGCAGGCUUUUUCUCAACUUUUGUGGGCUGUCUGUUGCCAGGGUACUCACGCGCUGGCUCUUGACUAUGGCUCUGGUGUCCCGCAAGCUUGCAGACCUCAUUAGUUCUGGCUGCUUUCUGGUGGACUCCUUGAGACUUUUUAUAAUUCAAGGCCCAGAAUCUACAAACAGAGAUGGUUUCACUUCUUGCUUCCCAAUGUGGGUGUCUUUUGUGUCUUUUUCUUGCCUAAUUGGCCUGGCUGCUCUUCCAGGACUGUGGUGAAUGGUGAAUAGGAGGGGUGAGAGCAGACAACCCUGCCUUGUUCCUGACCUCAGAGGGAGUGUCCAGCCUUAGCUGGGCUAGCUCUCCAUUUUCCAUAAAUGUCAUUUAAUAAGUUGAUGAAAUUCUUUCCGGGGGGCGGGGGGUAUGGAUUUUGCCAAAUGCAUUUUCUGGAUCUGUUGAGAAUUCCAUGAGAUAUUGUCACUCUAUCGAUAUAAUGCAAUUGUAUAAUUUCAAGAUGUUAAGACAACCUUGCUUUGCUGGGGUAAAUCCCACUUGGUCAUGGGUGUAUAAUCUUUCUGAUGUGUUGCUAGAUUUGGUUUGCUAUUUUUUUUAAGCGAGGGUUUCUCUUUGCAGUCUUGACUGACCUGAAGUUUGCUCUGUAGGGCAAGCAGGCUGCCUUGAAACUCAGAGACUUACCUGCCUCUGCCUCCCAAAUGAUAAAACUAAAGGUGUGCACCAUCCA